rnacentral:tRNA from 1 species
ACGAGAAUAGUUAAGUGGUAUAACAUUUACCUUCCAAGUAGAUAUCAUCAGUUCAACCCUGAUUUCUCGUA